UGGGGAAUAUUGCACAAUGGGCGCAAGCCUGAUGCAGCGACGCCGCGUGGGGGAUGACGGCCUUCGGGUUGUAAACUCCUUUCGCUAGGGACGAAGCUUUUUGUGACGGUACCUAGAUAAGAAGCACCGGCUAACUACGUGCCAGCAGCCGCGGUAAUACGUAGGGUGCGAGCGUUGUCCGGAAUUACUGGGCGUAAAGGGCUCGUAGGUGGUUUGUCGCGUCGUCUGUGAAAUUCCGGGGCUUAACUCCGGGCGUGCAGGCGAUACGGGCAUAACUUGAGUACUGUAGGGGUAACUGGAAUUCCUGGUGUAGCGGUGAAAUGUGCAGAUAUCAGGAGGAACACCGAUGGCGAAGGCAGGUUACUGGGCAGUUACUGACGCUGAGGAGCGAAAGCAUGGGUAGCGAACAGG
rnacentral:rRNA from 1 species